UCUCACUCUAGCGAGACUGCCGGUAAUAAACCGGAGGAAGGUGGGGAUGACGUCAAAUCAUCAUGCCCCUUAUGACCUGGGCUACACACGUGCUACAAUGGCUGGUACAACGAGUCGCAAGCCGGUGACGGCAAGCUAAUCUCUUAAAGCCAGUCUCAGUUCGGAUUGUAGGCUGCAACUCGCCUACAUGAAGUCGGAAUCGCUAGUAAUCGCGGAUCAGCACGCCGCGGUGAAUACGUUCCCGGGCCUUGUACACACCGCCCGUCACACCACGAGAGUUUGUAACACCCGAAGUCGGUGAGGUAACCGUAAGGAGCCAGCCGCCUAAGGUGGGAUAGAUGAUUGGGGUGAAGUCGUAACAAGGUAACCGUAA
rnacentral:rRNA from 1 species